rnacentral:rRNA from 1 species
UACGUAGGGGGCAAGCGUUGUCCUGAAUCAUUGGGCGUAAAGAGCGUGUAGGCGGCCUGAUAAGUCGGCUGUGAAAGUCAAGGGCUCAACCCUUGAAUGCCGGCCGAUACUGUCAGGCUAGAAUCCGGAAUAGGCGAGUGGAAUUCCUGGUGUAGCGGUGAAAUGCGCAGAUAUCAGGAGGAACACCUAUGGCGAAGGCAGCUCGCUGGGACGGUAUUGACGCUGAGACGCGAAAGCGUGGGGAGCGAACAGG